rnacentral:rRNA from 1 species
UGGCGCACGGGUGAGUAACACGUAGAUAAUCUACCUUCGAGCCUGGGAUAACUAAUCGAAAGGUUAGCUAAUACCGGAUGAAGUAAUUUGACGUGGGUUGAAUUAUGAAAGACUGCCUAUCCAUGGAAGCAGUUGUUUGGAGAUGAGUUUGCGGACCAUUAGUUAGUUGGUGGGGUAAGGGCCUGCCAAGGCUAUGAUGGUUAGCUGGUCUGAGAGGAUGAUCAGCCACACUGGAACUGAAACACGGUCCAGACUCCUACGGGAGGCAGCAGUGAGGAAUUUUGCGCAAUGGGGGCAACCCUGACGCAGCAACGCCGCGUGAGUGAAGAAGGCCUUUGGGUCGUAAAGCUCUGUCAAUCGGGAAGAAGUUAUGGGAGUCGAAUAGGCUUUCAUAUUGACGGUACCGGUGAAGGAAGCAUCGGCUAACUCCGUGCCAGCAGCCGCGGUAAUACGGGGGAUGCAAGCGUUAUUCGGAAUUAUUGGGCGUAAAGGGCGCGUAGGCGGUUUUGUCGGUCAGAUGUGAAAGCCCGGGGCUCAACCCUGGACGUGCAUUUGAAACAGCAAGACUUGAGUACGGGAGAGGAAAGCGGAAUUCCUGGUGUAGAGGUGAAAUUCGUAGAUAUCAGGAGGAACACCGAUGGCGAAGACAGCUUUCUGGACCGAUACUGACGCUGAGGCGCGAAGGCGUGGGUAGCGAACAGGAUUAGAUACCCUGGUAGUCCACGCAGUAAACGAUGUACACUCGGUGUAGCGGGUAUUAAAAUCUGCUGUGCCCAAGCUAACGCAUUAAGUGUACCGCCUGGGGAGUACGGUCGCAAGACUAAAACUCAAGGAAUUGACGGGGGCCCGCACAGCGGUGGAGCAUGUGGUUUAAUUCG